rnacentral:rRNA from 1 species
GAUGAACGCUGGCGGCGUGCCUAAUACAUGCAAGUCGAGCGAACAGAUGAGGAGCUUGCUCCUCUGACGUUAGCGGCGGACGGGUGAGUAACACGUGGAUAACCUACCUAUAAGACUGGGAUAACUUCGGGAAACCGGAGCUAAUACCGGAUAAUAUAUUGAACCGCAUGGUUCAAUAGUGAAAGGCGGUUUUGCUGUCACUUAUAGAUGGAUCCGCGCCGCAUUAGCUAGUUGGUAAGGUAACGGCUUACCAAGGCAACGAUGCGUAGCCGACCUGAGAGGGUGAUCGGCCACACUGGAACUGAGACACGGUCCAGACGCCUACGGGAGGCAGCAGUAGGGAAUCUUCCGCAAUGGGCGAAAGCCUGACGGAGCAACGCCGCGUGAGUGAUGAAGGUCUUCGGAUCGUAAAACUCUGUUAUUAGGGAAGAACAAAUGUGUAAGUAACUAUGCACGUCUUGACGGUACCUAAUCAGAAAGCCACGGCUAACUACGU